rnacentral:rRNA from 1 species
CCUACGGGAGGCAGCAGUGAGGAAUAUUGGUCAAUGGACGCAAGUCUGAACCAGCCAUGCCGCGUGCAGGAAGACGGCUCUAUGAGUUGUAAACUGCUUUUGUACGGGGGUAAACGCAGAUACGUGUAUCUGUCUGAAAGUAUCGUACGAAUAAGGAUCGGCUAACUCCGUGCCAGCAGCCGCGGUAAUACGGAGGAUUCAAGCGUUAUCCGGAGUUAUUGGGUUUAAAGGGUGCGUAGGCGGGCCUUCAGGCCGGCGGUAAAAUUGCGGGGCUCAACCCAGCCGAGCCGUCGAAACCGGGGACCUUGAGUACCGGAGAAGUAAGCGGAAGGAGUGGUGUAGCGGUGAAAUGCAUAGAUAUCACGCAGAACCCCGAUUGCGAAGGCAGCGUACCGGCCGGUCACUGACGCUGAGGCACGAAAGCGCGGGUAUCGAACAGGAUUAGAUACCCCGGUAGUC